rnacentral:rRNA from 1 species
AGCAGCCGCGGUAAUUCCAGCUCCAAUAGCGUAUAUUAAAGUUGUUGCAGUUAAAAAGCUCGUAGUUGAAUUUCGGGAUCAAUUAAUUGGUCGUGCCUCUGGUACGUACUGAUUUUAUUGGUUUCUCCCUUCUGACGAACCAUGAUGUCAUUAAUUUGAUGUCGUGGAGAAUCAGGACUGUUACUUUGAAAAAAUUAGAGUGUUUAAAGCAAGCUAACGCUUGAAUACAUUAGCAUGGAAUAAUGAAAUAGGACGUUUGAUCCUAUUUUGUUGGUUUCUAGGAUCGACGUAAUGAUUAAUAGGGAUAGUUGGGGACAUUAGUAUUCAAUUGUCAGAGGUGAAAUUCUUGGAUUUAUUGAAGACUAACUACUGCGAAAGCAUUUGCCAAGGAUGUUUUCAUUAAUCAAGAACGAAAGUUAGGGGAUCGAAGACGAUCAGAUACCGUCGUAGUCUUAACCAUAAACUAUGCCGACUAGGGAUCGGAUGAUGUUAAUUUUUUAAUGACUCAUUCGGCGCCUUACG